AGCAGCCGAGAAAAAAAGAGAGAGAGAGGGUACGUAUCGGUACAACCCAGCUACAACCGAUUAUUACAUCAAUGUUUUCCUCCAUGAUCGAGAGAUAGAGUCGUCGUUUGGAGGAGUUUUUGAUGGUGCAACCCAGACGGAGCUUUGUUUCUUGUAAUUUGCGAAUUUGGAUUUUGAUCAAGGAAUAGAUUCGGCAAAGAAGACCUCAUUUGUGGGGUUAUGGAAUGGGCGGUAGGAGAGGAUCAAGAGCAUAUUGGAGGUACAGGUCAUACUAGAGAUGCCUCUGAAUUUGUAUUAGAUCUUUUGUAAUGUCAAGAGAGUGCCAUGUAGGGUUAAUUGAAUUGUGUAAGAUUAAGGAUCCUAUCCUUGGGUUACUUCCUUAAUUAUAUCUUUCUUCAUGUUCUAAACUUCUUCAUUUCAAACAAUUCCAAUUGUUAUUAAAAUAUAAGAGUAUAUCAAAAUUGUAAUGUA